GAUGAACGCUGGCGGCGUGCCUAACACAUGCAAGUCGAACGGAGUCGUUUUGGAAAUCUCUUCGGAGAUGGAAUUCUCGACUUAGUGGCGGACGGGUGAGUAACGCGUGAGCAAUCUGCCUUUAAGAGGGGGAUAACAGUCGGAAACGGCUGCUAAUACCGCAUAAAGCAUUAAAUUUGCAUGUUUUUGAUGCCAAAGGAGCAAUCCGCUUUUAGAUGAGCUCGCGUCUGAUUAGCUAGUUGGCGGGGUAACGGCCCACCAAGGCGACGAUCAGUAGCCGGACUGAGAGGUUGAACGGCCACAUUGGGACUGAGACACGGCCCAGACUCCUACGGGAGGCAGCAGUGGGGAAUAUUGCGCAAUGGGGGAAACCCUGACGCAGCAACGCCGCGUGAUGGAAGAAGGCCUUCGGGUUGUAAAGAUCUUUAAUCAGGGACGAAACAAAUGACGGUACCUGAAGAAUAAGCUCCGGCUAACUACGUG
rnacentral:rRNA from 1 species